ensembl:rRNA 5S_rRNA 5S ribosomal RNA
AUCUCCGGCUGUAUCAGCCUGAAGGCUCCCGAUCUCGUCUGAUCUCGGAAGCUAAGCAGGGUCUAAGCAGGGUCGGGCCUGGUUAGUAUCUUGGAUGGGAGACCACCUGGGAAUCCCGGGUGCUCGAGGCU